ACCUACGGGAGGCAGCAGUGGGGAAUAUUGCACAAUGGGGGGAACCCUGAUGCAGCGACGCCGCGUGAGUGAAGAAGUAUUUCGGUAUGUAAAGCUCUAUCAGCAGGGAAGAAAAUGACGGUACCUGACUAAGAAGCCCCGGCUAACUACGUGCCAGCAGCCGCGGUAAUACGUAGGGGGCGAGCGUUAUCCGGAUUUACUGGGUGUAAAGGGAGCGUAGACGGCGUCGCAAGUCUGAAGUGAAAGCCCGUGGCUCAACCGCGGAACCGCUUUGGAAACUGCGAGGCUGGAGUGCUGGAGAGGUA
rnacentral:rRNA from 1 species